GCCGGGUUUCUUCCACCCCAAAUUUGGUCCCCUGAGUUAGGAUGUGAGAAGCAGGGCGCGGGCCUGAGGGAGGUGUCUGGGGGUCCUCAGUCUGGGGAGGUUGGAAAGAAGAUAGAGGAAAGUGGGGAGAGGACGUAGGUGUCAUGAAGGUCAAAUCCGGCAACCCGAGGUCACUCCUGGUCUCUGUGGAGGGAGCAUGCCCACCUGCAGGAAGCCAGAAAAACCUGGGUGCCGUUAUCUAGGCAGGAGACAGACGCAAGUCCUCUGUGCCCCUUUAACUGCAAGAGACACAUCCCAAGUACAAGUACUCUGAGUAGUUCCACUGAAGGUCCCUCUCACUAGGCUUGAGGAAACAGAAAAGACUAUGGCCUUUACAAUACCAUGGGACUUCUGCUGCCCCUUUAGCCAGAAAUUCAGGU